rnacentral:rRNA from 1 species
UGGGGAAUAUUGGACAAUGGGCGCAAGCCUGAUCCAGCCAUGCCGCGUGAGUGAUGAAGGCCCUAGGGGUGUAAAGCUCUUUCACCGGUGAAGAUAAUGACGGUAACCGGAGAAGAAGCCCCGGCUAACUUCGUGCCAGCAGCCGCGGUAAUACGAAGGGGGCUAGCGUUGUUCGGAUUUACUGGGCUUAAAGCGCACGUAGGCGGACUUUUAAGUCAGGGGUGAAAUCCCGGUGCUCAACCCCGGAACUGCCUUUGAUACUGGAAGUCUUGAGUAUGGUAGUGGUGAGUGGAAUUCCGAGUGUAGAAGUGAAAUUCGUAGAUAUUCGGAGGAACGCCAGUAGCGAAGGCGGCUCACUGGACCAUUACUGACGCUGAGGUGCGAAAGCGUGGGGAGCAAACAGG